GUUAACUGUAAUUGAAAAAAAGAUUUUUUAAAAAACAAGCCAGCUGGGUCGGGCCUGGUUAGUACUUGGAUGGGAGACUGCCUAGGAAUACCGGGUGCUGUAGGCU
rnacentral:rRNA from 1 species